rnacentral:rRNA from 1 species
GAUGAACGCUGGCGGCGUGCCUAAUACAUGCAAGUCGAGCGAACGGACGAGAAGCUUGCUUCUCUGAUGUUAGCGGCGGACGGGUGAGUAACACGUGGAUAACCUACCUAUAAGACUGGGGUAACUUCGGGAAACCGGAGCUAAUACCGGAUAAUAUUUUGAACCGCAUGGUUCAAAAGUGAAAGACGGUCUUGCUGUCACUUAUAGAUGGAUCCGCGCUGCAUUAGCUAGUUGGUAAGGUAACGGCUUACCAAGGCAACGAUGCAUAGCCGACCUGAGAGGGUGAUCGGCCACACUGGAACUGAGACACGGUCCAGACUCCUACGGGAGGCAGCAGUAGGGAAUCUUCCGCAAUGGGCGAAAGCCUGACGGAGCAACGCCGCGUGAGUGAUGAAGGUCUUCGGAUCGUAAAACUCUGUUAUUAGGGAAGAACAUAUGUGUAAGUAACUAUGCACAUCUUGACGGUACCUAAUCAGAAAGCCACGGCUAACUACGUGCCAGCAGCCGCGGUAAUACGUAGGUGGCAAGCGUUAUCCGGAAUUAUUGGGCGUAAAGCGCGCGUAGGCGGUUUUUUAAGUCUGAUGUGAAAGCCCACGGCUCAACCGUGGAGGGUCAUUGGAAACUGGAAAACUUGAGUGCAGAAGAGGAAAGUGGAAUUCCAUGUGUAACGGUGAAAUGCGCAGAGAUAUGGAGGAACACCAGUGGCGAAGGCGACUUUCUGGUCUGUAACUGACGCUGAUGUGCGAAAGCGUGGGGAUCAAACAGGAUUAGAUACCCUGGUAGUCCACGCCGUAAACGAUGAGUGCUAAGUGUUAGGGGGUUUCCGCCCCUUAGUGCUGCAGCUAACGCAUUAAGCACUCCGCCUGGGGAGUACGACCGCAAGGUUGAAACUCAAAGGAAUUGACGGGGACCCGCACAAGCGGUGGAGCAUGUGGUUUAAUUCGAAGCAACGCGAAGAACCUUACCAAAUCUUGACAUCCUUUGACAACUCUAGAGAUAGAGCUUUCCCCUUCGGGGGACAAAGUGACAGGUGGUGCAUGGUUGUCGUCAGCUCGUGUCGUGAGAUGUUGGGUUAAGUCCCGCAACGAGCGCAACCCUUAAGCUUAGUUGCCAUCAUUAAGUUGGGCACUCUAAGUUGACUGCCGGUGACAAACCGGAGGAAGGUGGGGAUGACGUCAAAUCAUCAUGCCCCUUAUGAUUUGGGCUACACACGUGCUACAAUGGACAAUACAAAGGGCAGCGAAACCGCGAGGUCAAGCAAAUCCCAUAAAGUUGUUCUCAGUUCGGAUUGUAGUCUGCAACUCGACUACAUGAAGCUGGAAUCGCUAGUAAUCGUAGAUCAGCAUGCUACGGUGAAUACGUUCCCGGGUCU